UUAUGCUUGAUCGUACGUCCAUUUCCAUUACAAGCGUUACAUGGCAUACGCAUUUGCUGACGAAAACCUGGAGCGAUCAUGUGUUCAAUGACUCUGAACCCUGAACCACCGCAAACAGGGCAACUUUCGAUAGCUUUAUCAGCGGAGUAUUUAGGAUUAAAGCCCUGACCACUACAAACACUGCAAGUUCUCUUCACCGGAAUUUCCAAGGUAAAACUGCCUCCGGUGUAAAAAGAUGAAAGAUGAAUUUGAACUAUUUGCUCCAUGCUAGGUCCUCUGCGAACGGCAUUUUGACGUCUACGUCCGCCAAAUAUGUUAUCGAAUAUAUCACCAAAUGGAUCAAAUCCGAAACCUCCACCUGGGAAUCCUUCACCUGGACCACCACCAGGACCACCAGGUUGACCGUUUAAUCCUUCUUCUCCAUAAGCAUCAUAAAUCUUACGUUGCUCAGGAUCAGAAAGGACUUCAUGGGCCUUGUUAAUUUCAAUAAACUUCUCCUGUGCUUCUUCAUUACCUCUAGAACAUUUAUUAGCUUUAGGCUUUCAUUUGUUUGCAUGCUUGUUUAACUUACGGAUUUUUGUCAGGGUGCCAUUGUUUCGUCAAUUGUCUAUAUGCUUUGCGAAUCUCAGAUUCAGAUGCAUCUUUACUGACUCCAAGGAUCUGUUUUUGAGAGAAGUUGUUAGUGAACAUUUUUCUUUAAUUUUCUUCUCAAUCCUACGAUCACAUGCACUUACUUGAUAGUAGUCAGCAGCAGAUACAACUGCUUGAAUGCAAACUAAAAAUCCUAAUAUAAAAUGAAAAAGAUUGAAAUGCAUUAACUAUGUUUAGGAAGCGAGUUGGAGUUUAGCUCACUUUAACAAGGGAAUGGUAUUAUGUAGAAAGAUUUUCUUGAAGAAAUCCAGGACAAGUUUGCAACGCCUCGGUAUACUCAUCGCCGUGGUUAUCGAAACCAUAAAUUUAAUUUAACAUUGUUUAGAAAUGUCAUAAAAGUUACUAUAUGAAAAUAUUUUUAUUAAUACAAUUAAUCCAUUUCAAGGAUCCACAUAGGUUAUUUAAAUAGUCCAAAUAGUUGAUAAUUUUAUAUUUGUUUCAACGAAUAUCGGGUGGAAUUGUUGGUA